rnacentral:rRNA from 1 species
AACGAACGCUGGCGGCAGGCCUAACACAUGCAAGUCGAGCGGACCCUUCGGGGUUAGCGGCGGACGGGUGAGUAACGCGUGGGAAUAUGCCCUUCUCUACGGAAUAGUCUUGGGAAACUGGGGGUAAUACCGUAUACGCCCUUUGGGGGAAAGAUUUAUCGGGGAAGGAUUAGCCCGCGUUGGAUUAGGUAGUUGGUGGGGUAAUGGCCUACCAAGCCGACGAUCCAUAGCUGGUUUGAGAGGAUGAUCAGCCACACUGGGACUGAGACACGGCCCAGACCCCCAGGGGGGGAAGGGGGGGGGAGUUUAAGAAAAGGGGGGCACCCCUAACAUCCCCAGCCGGUGGGAGGAAUGAGGGCUUUGGGGUUGAAAACCCCUUCCGGGGGGAAAGAAAAGGAGGGCCCCGGAAGAAGAGCCCCGGCCAACCCCGGGC